GGUGAACAUUGUAUACGCAGAUUAGUUUCGUGAAAUGGGAAGUAAAGGAGAAGCAGAAGAAAGAAUCCUUGAUCUGAACCCAAAUAAAGAUAAAAGAUAAGCGGUAGAACUGAAUUGGGGAUGCAGGUGCUGCUAAUGUAGAACCGUGGAUGAAGCAGAGGAAGACCAAAGAAGAAAGUUGUGAGAUGUAGGAUUCUACAAUCUACAUCCAUCGCUUUUUGACAGAUACAUACUACAUCAUGAUUACUUGAAGUUGCAUUAGUUAUGGUGGUGGUCCUUGAGUCAAUUGGAGCAGCGAGAUGAGACGAAUUUUGACCGAUGGCAGCCUCGCGGUGGCUGUUUGAACCAGAAUCGGU
rnacentral:lncRNA from 1 species